ACAUGUGCUGCCUGCUCCAGCCAAGACUCAGCAGAAGUCCAGGACUGUAGGAGCUGGGGAUGCUGCAGCCCAGGCAGAUGCCAAGGCAACCCCGGAGGUCUUGCAGGGUUUGGAGGCGCUGGAGAAAGGGCAUACUGGAGAAUCUAGAGAGAAAAUGACCUCCUCUCCUGAGUUGAUGUCAGUGCUUUAUAGAGGAUUUAUUGGUUUUGGCAGAGAUGGGGCAGUUUGUUCCGCAAGAUCCCACUGAUCUGAAUCCCAAACUGCUGCAGGAUCUUGGGUUUUCAAUAGGCAAUGCAAUGACUCAGAAGCUACAAUUCUCCCCAGCAGCUGCCCACUUUGCAGAAUCUCAGCGCAAACUAAACACCAUCAGGACAACUUGUUGCUGAGUCAUUUAGGGCACUGACAAAGCGUAUACACAGCACCAUCUGGUUUUGAUGCGGAGGGAGGGAGAAAUGAACACACAAACACACACACACACACGUGCAUAUACACACAAGACGUGGAGUUGCCCAUU